rnacentral:rRNA from 1 species
GACAGAGGGUGCAAACGUUGUUCGGAAUUACUGGGCGUAAAGCGCGUGUAGGCGGCAGCGUGUGUCGGGCGUGAAAUCCCACGGCUCAACCGUGGAAGUGCACUCGAAACUGCGCAGCUAGAGUCCUGGAGAGGAAGGUGGAAUGCUUGGUGUAGAGGUGAAAUUCGUAGAUAUCAAGCGGAACACCGGUGGCGAAGGCGGCCUUCUGGACAGUGACUGACGCUGAGACGCGAAAGCGUGGGGAGCAAACAGGG